rnacentral:rRNA from 1 species
UGAGGAAUAUUGGUCAAUGGGCGCGAGCCUGAACCAGCCAAGUAGCGUGAAGGAUGAAGGUCCUAUGGAUUGUAAACUUCUUUUAUAGCAGAAUAAAGUGACCCACGUGUGGGUUUUUGUAUGUAUGCUAUGAAUAAGGAUCGGCUAACUCCGUGCCAGCAGCCGCGGUAAUACGGAGGAUCCGAGCGUUAUCCGGAUUUAUUGGGUUUAAAGGGUGCGUAGGUGGGCUUAUAAGUCAGUGGUGAAAUCUCCGAGCUUAACUUGGAAACUGCCGUUAAUACUAGAGGUCUUGAAUUAUCUGGAGGUAAGCGGAAUAUGUCGUGUAGCAGUGAAAUGCUUAGAUAUGACAUAGAACACCAGUUGCGAAGGCAGCUUACUACAUAUAAAUUGACGCUGAGGCACGAAAGCG